AGUGAACGCUGGCGGUAGGCCUAACACAUGCAAGUCGAACGGCAGCACAGUAAGAGCUUGCUCUUACGGGUGGCGAGUGGCGGACGGGUGAGGAAUACAUCGGAAUCUACUUUUUCGUGGGGGAUAACGUAGGGAAACUUACGCUAAUACCGCAUACGACCUACGGGUGAAAGCAGGGGAUCUUCGGACCUUGCGCGAUUGAAUGAGCCGAUGUCGGAUUAGCUAGUUGGCGAGGUAAAGGCCCACCAAGGCGAUGAUCCGUAGCUGAUCUGAGAGGAUGAUCAGCCACACUGGAACUGAGACACGGUCCAGACUCCUACGGGAGGCAGCAGUGGGGAAUAUUGGACAAUGGGCGCAAGCCUGAUCCAGCCACACCGCGUGGGUGAAGAAGGCCUUCGGGUUGUAAAGCCCUUUUGUUGGGAAAGAAAAGCAGCAGGUUAAUACCCCGCUGUUCUGACGGUACCCAAAGAAUAAGCACCGGCUAACUUCGUG
rnacentral:rRNA from 1 species